rnacentral:rRNA from 1 species
ACUUUGACUGUGCAAAGGUAGCAUAAUCAAUUGACUUAUAAUUGAAGUCUAGAAUGAAAGGAUGCAUGGGAAAUAACUGUCUAAAAUAGUGUAAAUAGAACUUACUUAAUAAGUGAAAAUGCUUAUAGAGAAAUAAUAGACGAGAAGACCCUUGAAAUUUUGUUUAAAAUCUCUAACGAUUAAAAUUUUGUUGGGGCGACAGAAUAGCACGUAACCUAUUCUAUGUUAUGGGCAUUUAUAUAAAGUGAUAAUAAAUUACUCUAGGGAUAACAGCAUAAUUUUUUAAAAGAUUGUGACCUCGAUGUUGG